ensembl:lncRNA
ACCAAAUGCUGCAGCAGCUGGACCCAUAACAACAAUCUAAAAAUGUCAACAGUGCUACAGGAAAGCGAUCUCAUGCAGCAGAGAUGGAGAGCGUUAAAUCCAAGGCCCGUUUCACUACACGGGGGAGAUUUCCAGACAGCUUCAGCUGACAGACCUGUGACGAGACGCCCAUUAAGCCCGAAUGAAAAGUAAGGCCGAGCAAAAGAAUGCUGACCUUGAUAACUUUGCAUUUAACACUGUGCAGGACAGUGAUGGACCAACACGGAUGAUCGGGCAGCAGAAGAAAGGGCGUGCCAGAGACAGGAGGAGCAACUGAGGUCAAAAGGCACCUCAGAAUGGACAAAACACAGAAGAAGAAAGGACUGCCCCAAUUGGGGCCAAAACCAGGACAGACUGAACUUUGAGCAGCAGCAGCAGCAGCAAUGGUCGCAACCGGACUGAAAAGGAGGAGGGCAGGACCCCAGGGCACGCUUCAGGCCGUGGUUUACCCAAAACACCAGAACAGGAAAGUGAUAAACACGCAAACAUACACAUCUACACACACUGACUCAAAAUGAAGAGAAACACACACCUGAACAGACGUGCACUUGUUGAUUGAGUGAGAAAUGACACACACACACACAUCAGACAAUGUACACUCAUCAAACAUGACUGAUGCCCUGAACGCCUUGAGACAGAUCCAGCAGGCCCAAAAUCAGGCCUAUGUAAAUAAUACAAGUGACUGCUAAAAAGACUACUACUGCCUUUUCACUGUGCAAUACUUUUUGUUAAAAACCAACGGUGCAAUAGACUUCAAUACUUGAAAUACUUGAAAUACUUGAAAUACUUGCAGUUCCUUUGUAUUCUUAUUCUUAUUUAUUCUAUUUAUCCCUUUUUGUAUUUUUACUUUUAUUUUGUGUUUUUGUAACAUGUAUCCUGCCAUGUCUAAAACUCAUGAUUAACCGUAUAAUUGUUUCCACUGUUGCUGCAUACAUAGCCGUGACAAAUGAUGAUGAUGACCCCGACCUGUUGGAACAUGAAGACUUUCCGUGACAAAUGAUGAUGAUGACCCCGACCUGUUGGAACAUGAAGACUUUGUGUGAUUAAUGAUGAUGUGACAGAAAAUGUACAACAAGAUGUUACAUACUGAUAUCUCACUUCAAAGUUAUACUGACAACAGGAGGGAAUGUCAAUAGAAAAUUGUACUUGGUAGUCAGUAUAAGCCUUUAAUGAUAUAAGUUUGCAUAUGAUAGAAUACUGUAUGUUGACCUUUUGAUGACUUAGACUGUUGUCCACUACAAGACUGUUUUAUGAAUUCUUUCUCACAGCGAUAAUAGCUGUUAUUAUUUCACUCCUGCCAGGAAGAGGAGAGCUGGACACUCUUAUCUGACACUCCCUAACAAGAAGAGAGGCCGCGUCUUUCUGUAUCCCACAACACACAUGCAUACACCUAAACCGCUCUUAUCUUCACUCCCUACACACUAACUUUCCUCUACCUAUGAAUAGACGUAUUCACUGUUGUAUUAUUUUUGCAUAUAAAUAAAGACAAGUGCAAGAACAGAGCGCUGAU